rnacentral:rRNA from 1 species
UACGUAGGGUGCAAGCGUUAAUCGGAAUUACUGGGCGUAAAGCGCGCGUAGGUGGUUUGUUAAGUUGGAUGUGAAAGCCCCGGGCUCAACCUGGGAACUGCAUCCAAAACUGGCAAGCUAGAGUAUGGCAGAGGGUGGUGGAGUUUCCUGUGUAGCGGUGAAAUGCGUAGAUAUAGGAAGGAACACCAGUGGCGAAGGCGACCACCUGGGCUAAUACUGAC